UCCGGUUUGGCACCGGCAGUCUCCGAUGAGUCCCCGGCAUUACCCGCUGGCAACAUCGGACAGGGGUUGCGCUCGUUGCGCCACUUAAGGCAACACCUCACGGCACGAGCUGACGACAGCCAUGCAGCACCUGUGCGGGCUCCCGAAGGAGCGCCGUGUUUCCACGGUUUCACCCCGCAUGUCAAACCCAGGUAAGGUUCUUCGCGUUGCCUCGAAUUAGGCAACAUGCUCCGCCGCUUGUGCGAGCCCCCGUCAAUUCCUUUGAGUUUUAGCCUUGCGGCCGUACUCCCCAGGCGGGGUGCUUAAUGCGUUAGCUGCGGCACAGAGAGGGUUGAUGCUCCCCACACCUAGCACCCAACGUUUACGGCUGGGACUAC
rnacentral:misc_RNA from 1 species